GUAUUCAGCAGCUUGUAACUCCCUGUGCUUAAGCCCUGAACUGGUGCCGGGUGCUGUCGCUCCACUGGAGGCAGAAGACCCUGGGAUCCAAAGAAAUCAGCCAGGCCCUAAGAAAUACAACACAGCAGAUCCUCUCAAAGGAUGAAACCCCAAAUGCCAUCAAUUUGCGAUAUUGAUCCCUCAAUCUACCCUGUAAAGAAAAUAACAAUUACUGCAACGAAUAUUGGAGAUUACAGCUAAACCUCAGGAGCCUUACAGCUAUGGCUGCAGACUGGGAGACUGGCUUAUCUUCUGACUCAUAACCCAAACAAGCUCCUGAAUGUUCAUUGUACAUGGGAAUAGAUGAGAAUGCUCUGGAGGAACAGAGCCAGGAAGAACAGUACUGAAGGUAGAUAAGGUCAGACCAAUUCUGGUAAUAAAGGCUAAUUAGUAAAUCAGCAAUGGAGUGUUUCAAUAAUGUAGGCUGCAUUGCAUCAGAAAAAGGAGAGACAGAGAGUACCACGUGUUUGAGGAGAUGGAAAAACCCCAAAGGAAUGAAGUCAGCACUACUGAAGAAUUACCUUUAUUUAACCAUUGAAGGGCUGAGAAUUUGACCCAUCUCAGAUACUUACAGUUAUAUUCACUCAGAACUUUUUCACUGUGGAGACCAAAGAGAUUCAGAGAGGACUUUACCUGGAAAGGAAGGAGAUGAAUGAUGUUUGAUAUUAAAAUGACGUAUCGUGUCUUGAACAGGAGAUUAGCUAGAAAGUUAACACCCAGUAAAACCUCUCAGUUCACUUAAAAGAGAUUUUCAAGACUAGAGUAAGAAGUCAUUUAAACACUUACAAAUAUGAGCUGACAUGUCCUGUUGCCAUGAAGAGAAGAAAUACUAAUGUCAGUCUAAAAUAAAAGAUAAAUUAUACAAGUCAUACCAUGAGUCCAUAUCAGAUGUGGCACCAAACAUUAUUAAGAGUAACAAUGCACUACUAGAAGAGGAUUUACAGCAAAAGUAAAACUAAACAAAGGAAUAAUUGCCAAGUAUGUCAUUAACUUUUGCCUCGCAUGUCAACAGGCCUGACUUUGUGCAGUGCAAAGGAGUGGGAGUAAGAACAGCAAAAUUUCCUCUGCUUAAGAUCACAGUGGCAUUUUUAUGAAGCCUCCACAUGUGAGCCCUCCCUACGAGGGCUGUGACACAGCUGUUCAGACCUGCAGAUACCAAAAAGGAAGGAUAGAAAGCUCUGAAGACGAGGAAGACCAGGCUGAGUGAAGAGUUAAUGAAACGAUGAGAUUACAAAGGGCAGAAAAGCUCAGUAUGAGGUGAGAGUGACAGGAUUUCACGUGGCUUGUUCAAAGUUCUUUGUUGUAGUUGUUGUUGUUGCUUUUAUUAAUUCCCAGGUAAGAUCAAUCAUCAUUUAACAGCUUUCAUCAAAAGAUUCACAGCCUUCGUUCAAUUCUACUCAAACCACCAAACAUUCCUGGGACUUCCUCUUCAGUUCCAGCUAAACCAGGUCAGAAUGGCAUUUCCAGUGUUUAUAGUACAGAAAAUCUGCAGGCCUUUCUAAAGAUACCUCCUGCCUCUCCUCCCCCUUGUCUAUAAUGAUGCGACAAAACAUUGCCUCCCUCCACCCCCACCCCAGCCCCCAAAUUGUCUCCCUCCCCAUGAUCAGUUCAGAUCAUGAUAAAUCAAAAAGAUGCCAUCUACAGUAGUCCUGGUGUGGAUUUUUUGUUACAAAAUGGAAACUGUCGGGACCCAUAUUUAAUAGAGAAACAUGAAUUUAGAGGGAUUAUUUUACAGUAUCAAUCUGAUGUUGAUCUAUAUUGAGUUGGCAGAAAGGUUAUUUUGAUUAUUUUUUUUUAAGGGAAAUUGAUGAUUUAUUUUCUCAUGAGCACUGUCUGGAGUUUAGUAGACUAAACUCUUCUUUCAAAUAACUAGUGUGGAGAAAAGGUGUCAUUCCUGUCUUUCAAGGGGGCAAUCCAAGAUUUUGAUGGAAAAGUCCUUCUUUCAGAGCGUCCAAGGAUGAUUGUAUUUGGGCAGCAGUUAAUCUAAUCAGCUACAGGUUUUUGAUCCUGAUGAGUGCUCCAGACUGGACUCUGUGAUGCUCCAGCUUUAAGAAUGCCUUUUUCUUGGUCCUUUCUGAAGAAAGGCUCAGCAGUAGGUGAAAGAAGGUGAUUUGUUAACCAGUCUCUCUUCCUGCUUUCCAUAUACCUUUUGUGUUCUGGAUGCUAAGAAAAUGUGUGUGAUAAACAGCUGCAAAGUGGAAUGAGUAGGAGGAUGUAAAUUUUGUGAAUUCCAGGAAGACUUAGUCAUGAGUUUCUCCCUGGGCAGCACUGUCAUUUGGAUGUCUAACUGACAGAAACAAAUAAAAAGGAAAAAUUAAAAAAAGCACAGAUUUAGAGGAUUUUAUUGGAAAAUCAAAUUCAAAAUAACUUACCCUCUCAAAUAACAAGUUGUGAGUAAUAGUUGUGCCUGACAAUACAGUUCUGAUGCUUACAGAGACAUUUAGGGUACAUAUAUAGAGCUUUUAAAGAACUGUGAAGGGAGGCUGUGGCCUCUGAUCGCCUGGUGAGGAAUGAUUCAUGCCCACGCUCUUCAUGACAAGCACUCCUGGAGUAGACUGACGGCAGCAGAACUUAAAACAAACCUUGUCUUGGUCCUUCCCAGUCCAAGAGCCUUUCAUAUCCAUUCCACUUCCCCCUGCAGUCCCAGCUCCUUGGGACUGGUGCUGCACCCUGCCCAGGAUGAUAGAGCACAUCAGAAAAUGUCCCAUUACUCCCUGGCAAAGGUGACCCCCAGCUUGUUCCCACCUGCACCUAUAGCUUCUGGGCAGAUGAUGGCAGAAGCCCUUCACUGCGAUGAUAUAAAUCUAAGGAUCCCCUUGAUUUCAGGUGGGAGCUGCUAGAACAGUGGAGUCUGGAGGGCAUCUGGGAUGCAUUUGAUUGACCUCUUCAGAGCCAGCCCACCCGUCUGUGCCCCUGCAGCAGUGCUAGCUGUGCUUAGGGUACCAACCCAAGACAGUUAUCGAGAGAGAGUCCUGACAACAACCCACAAGUACAAUGAUUUUAUCUCAGGAAGGCAGCAUUGUGUCAUGCACACAGGGGAUGUGGAGGAGCACAAGACCCCUGAAAUGCUGAAAUGUUGAAAUGCUGUUGGGUUAAGAGGUGAAAGCAUGCACAGCCCACAUCCUCACUGGCUAUGUGGAGCAGAUCCUGGAGUGAAGUCUUCAUCAUCCACUUUUGGGUUUCCUGCUGGGAAAAACUAGUUGGUCCACAAGAAAAAAAUAUACAUGCACAAAUUAGCAUGUAUGGUAGGUGGGCAAUCAUCAAGGCAGGGCUGGAGGGGCCAAGCUGCAGGGUAACUUAUGCAAAAAUGCAUUCUUCAGUACCUUCUGCUCCUUGGAAAAUCUAGAGUCUCCAGUCCCUCACAAGCUAACAAUGCCUUAAUUGGGAAAAAAUAAAUAAAUAAAAAGUAAAGAAAUAAAAAAUAAAAAAUAAAAUAAAUUUGCCAUUCCUGCUUUGAACAUACUUGUAAAAGGAGUAAGAUGGAAAUACUCCAUUUAAUAGUGACCCCAAUGUGAUGUACAUAUAUGGUGUCCCUGUCCUGGAGAGCUAGCAGGAGUGCUAGCUGUAUUCAGCUGGGGAUUUCCAGAAAGUCUGAGAGUUUUCCUUUCAGUCUCUGUGAUGAGUCUACCAGUGAGUUCAUGGAUUCCCCCCUGACUCAUCCACAUUCCUGCUACCCUCCUGGCUGGACCCUGGGGCUUUCAUUAACCCCCUCCACACCUCUGGAUGCAGCUGGGGUAUCUCAGCAGCAGGGAUCUUUGGCUAACUCAUCACCCUGGCACUUGUUUUAUUUCCCAGAAACCCAUGUCACUGGUGUAGCCUGAGUGUACAUACCACUGACCACAGAGCCUCACUGGAGCCACUUCCCAUUCCCUUUUCCUGACUUUCCUAAAAUUAAAUUUCCCACUUAAUUUCUUCUUGUUGUUUCACUCACAGCAGUGAGAGUUAUUCUAGAGACCAGAAUUUGCAGCUGAAGACUAACCAGCACUACACACAGUCCUUAGCUAAAGCAGGACUCUGCCCUCAAUAAACCAUUUUCUGACACUA